rnacentral:rRNA from 1 species
GAUGAACGCCGGCGGCGUGCCUAACACAUGCAAGUCGAACGGAGUCCAGCCUUUAAGACCUUCGGGUCAAAGAGGGGAAGACUGAGUGGCGGACGGGUGAGUAACACGUGGGCAACCUGGCUCAUAGAGGGGGAUAACAGAGAGAAAUUUCUGCUAAUACCGCAUAAGCACACACUGCCGCAUGGCAGAGGGUGAAAAGAGAAUCGCUAUGAGAUGGACCCGCGUCUGAUUAGCCAGUUGGCAGGGUAAGAGCCUACCAAAGCGACGAUCAGUAGCCGAUCUGAGAGGAUGAACGGCCACAUUGGGACUGAGACACGGCCCAAACUCCUACGGGAGGCAGCAGUGGGGGAUAUUGCACAAUGGGGGGAACCCUGAUGCAGCGACGCCGCGUGAGUGAAGAAGUAUUUCGGUAUGUAAAGCUCUAUCAGCAGGGAAGAUAAUGACAGUACCUGAAUAAGAAGCCCCGGCUAACUACGUG